rnacentral:rRNA from 1 species
GGCCUGUGACUGACGCUGAGGCGCGAAAGCGUGGGGAGCGAACAGGAUUAGAUACCCUGGUAGUCCACGCCGUAAACGAUGGGUGCUAGGUGUUAGGGGGGAGCACCCCUUAGUGCUGAAGUCAACACAUUAAGCACUCCGCCUGGGGAGUACGACCGCAAGGUUGAAACUCAAAGGAAUUGACGGGGGCCCGCACAAGCAGUGGAGCAUGUGGUUUAAUUCGGAGCAACGCGAAGAACCUUACCAGGUCUUGACAUCCCUCUGACGGGUUCAGAGAUGGGCCGUUCCUUCGGGACAGAGGAGACAGGUGGUGCAUGGUUGUCGUCAGCUCGUGUCGUGAGAUGUUGGGUUAAGUCCCGCAACGAGCGCAACCCUUGACCUUUGUUGCCAGCAUUAAGUUGGGCACUCAGAGGUGACUGCCGGUGACAAACCGGAGGAAGGUGGGGAUGACGUCAAAUCAUCAUGCCCCUGAUGACCUGGGCGACACACGUGCUACAAUGGGCGGUACAGAGGGCAGCGAAGCCGCGAGGCGGAGCGAAUCCCAGAAAGCCGCUCUCAGUUCGGAUUGCAGGCUGCAACUCGCCUGCAUGAAGGAGGAAUUGCUAGUAAUCGCGGAUCAGCAUGCCGCGGUGAAUCCGUUCCCGGGCCUUGUACUCACCGCCCGUCAAGGGCGAAUUCCAGCA